rnacentral:lncRNA from 1 species
GCUGCUGCAACCCGCUGCCCUCUGGUGUCCUGCUGUGGGAGCUUUGUUCUUUCACUCUCGUAAUAAGUCUUGCUGCUGCUCACUCUUUGGGUCCGCACUGUCUCUGUGAGCUGUAACACUCACCGCGAGGUUCUGUGCCUUCGUUCUUUAAGUCAGGGAGACCACGAACCCACCGGGAGGAACAAACAACUGUGAUGCGCCAUCUUUAAGAGCUGUAACAUUCACCGCCGGGGUCUGCGGCUUCAUUCCUGGAGUGAGUGAGACCACGAACCCACCAGAAGGAAGAAACUCUGGACCCAUCUGAACAGCUGAAGGAACAAACUCCGGACACACCAUCUUUAAGAACUGUAACACUCACCGGGAGUCUCCGUGGCUUCAUUCUUGAAGACAGCGAGACCAAGAACCCACCAGAAGGAAUGAAUUCCGCACACAGCAACAGCACAAAGUUAAACCAGGAAGUCCCUCUGCCUUGCUAGGGAUCCAGGUUUGCCUUCCUGUUGAGGUAUCCCAUUUCAUUACAGUUGACCUAAGUUUGAACAAACACUGCCACCUGAUGCAUGAAAGCUCUACUGUGACCUACGUUAAAAGGAGCUGACACUCCCUCAGGCUACCUUAGUCAGUGGGGGCUUACUGCAGCAUACCUGUGGCGAUGAGAGAGAGAGGCACAUCACAGGAGCAUCUGGCACCAGUGGCAUCCUGAGUGAGAAGACAUACAGCAAAAGAGAUGAAACAGAAGAAGCAGAGUCAGAGAGAUCCAAAACACGAAGGACACAAUGUGCCAUUGCUGUCUUUGAAGGGAGCCAUGAGCUGGGGAAUCCUGGCAGCCUCUGGAGGCUGAGAAUGACCUAUGAUUGACAGCCAGAAAAGCAAGUGGGGCUCAUGUCCUUCUGCUACAUAGAACUAAAUUCUCCUGACAACCUGAAUGAGCCUAGAAAAAGAUUCUCUUCUAGAGCCUUCAGAAGGAAACGCAAUCCUGCUAAUACCUUAAUUGUAGUCUUUUGAGAAACCAAGCCAAGGAAUAAGUCAAGCCAUGCUGUACUUGGAUUUCUGACCUGGAGAACUGUGAGAUAAUAAAAUUUGUGGUGUUUAAAGCUGCUAAAUUUGUGAUAAUUUGUUAUAGUUUCUCAGCUGGGGUACUCAGGACAUAUUUAGUCUCUAUCAUACAUGAGACAUAUUUGAGUUCUAUCUAUAUUCCCUACUGCUUGGACUUCUGAACAUU